rnacentral:lncRNA from 2 species
CCAAUACGCAAAGGAAGACACGAGGGGGGGGGGGGGGGGGGGAGGGGCAUUCGGGGAAGAGAGAAGGGAAGGGCCUCUUCGUCGGCGGCGACCGCGAGCUUCCGCUUCCGACAUAGCAUCGCCGCUCGCCGGAUCGGAGAGCGAGGGGAGCACGCCGUGCGCGAGGAGGGCAGCGGGGGCGCGCGGGGGAUACGGUUGGAGGCGCUUCAGCUACGGCCGGCCGAGGACCUGCGGCGAGUUGGUUCCUCUUCAGCUAUGCAUCAAGUAAUUAGAAUGCAAGAAGAACAUGGAAAUGAAGGAAUCUUGAAUAUCAUCAUUUCGCCUCUGCAAAGUUUCAGAGAUAUUAAUGAUUAAAUUGGUGUUAGCUGAAAGUAAGAGGAACGAGCACCUAAGAACUAUAGGAAUGGGAGGCAUCAGGAAAAUCAUCAGACCAAAUCUCCAAUACCAGAG